rnacentral:rRNA from 1 species
UUGACCUCGAAUCAGGUAGGAAUACCCGCUGAACUUAAGCAUAUCAAUAAGCGGAGGAAAAGAAACCAACAGGGAUUGCCCUAGUAACGGCGAGUGAAGCGGCAACAGCUCAAAUUUGAAAUCUGGCUCUCGGGCCCGAGUUGUAAUUUGUAGAGGAUGCUUUUGGUGCGGUGCCUUCCGAGUUCCCUGGAACGGGACGCCAUAGAGGGUGAGAGCCCCGUCUGGUUGGAUGCCAAUCCUCUGUAAAGCUCCUUCGACGAGUCGAGUAGUUUGGGAAUGCUGCUCUAAAUGGGAGGUAUAUGUCUUCUAAAGCUAAAUACCGGCCAGAGACCGAUAGCGCACAAGUAGAGUGAUCGAAAGAUGAAAAGAACUUUGAAAAGAGAGUUAAAAAGUACGUGAAAUUGUUGAAAGGGAAGCGCUUGUGACCAGACUUGGGCUUGGUUGAUCAUCCAGGGUUCUCCCUGGUGCACUCUUCCGGCUCAGGCCAGCAUCAGUUUGCCUCGGGGGAUAAAGGCUUCGGGAAUGUGGCUCUCUCCGGGGAGUGUUAUAGCCCGCUGCGUAAUACCCUGUGGCGGACUGAGGUUCGCGCAUUCGCAAGGAUGCUGGCGUAAUGGUCAUCAGUGACCCGUCUUGAAACACGGACCAAGGAGUCGUCUUCGUAUGCGAGUGUUCGGGUGUCAAACCCCUACGCGAAAUGAAAGUGAACGCAGGUGAGAGCUUCGGCGCAUCAUCGACCGAUCCUGAUGUUCUCGGAUGGAUUUGAGUAAGAGCAUACGGAGCCGGACCCGAAAGAAGGUGAACUAUGCCUGUGUAGGGUGAAGCCAGAGGAAACUCUGGUGGAGGCUCGCAGCGGUUCUGACGUGCAAAUCGAUCGUCAAACAUGGGCAUGGGGGCGAAAGACUAAUCGAACCUUCUAGUAGCUGGUUUCCGCCGAAGUUUCCCUCAGGAUAGCAGUGUUGAACUCAGUUUUAUGAGGUAAAGCGAAUGAUUAGGGACUCGGGGGCGCUA